UGGGGAAUUUUGGACAAUGGGCGAAAGCCUGAUCCAGCAAUGCCGCGUGUGUGAAGAAGGCCUUCGGGUUGUAAAGCACUUUUGUCCGGAAAGAAAUCCUUGGCUCUAAUACAGUCGGGGGAUGACGGUACCGGAAGAAUAAGCACCGGCUAACUACGUGCCAGCAGCCGCGGUAAUACGUAGGGUGCAAGCGUUAAUCGGAAUUACUGGGCGUAAAGCGUGCGCAGGCGGUUUGCUAAGACCGAUGUGAAAUCCCCGGGCUCAACCUGGGAACUGCAUUGGUGACUGGCAGGCUAGAGUAUGGCAGAGGGGGGUAGAAUUCCACGUGUAGCAGUGAAAUGCGUAGAGAUGUGGAGGAAUACCGAUGGCGAAGGCAGCCCCCUGGGCCAAUACUGACGCUCAUGCACGAAAGCGUGGGGAGCAAACAGGAUUAGAUACCCUGGUAGUCCACGCCCUAAAACGAUGUCAACUAGUUGUUGGGGAUUCAUUUCCUUAGUAACGUAGCUAACGCGUGAAGUUGACCGCCUGGGGAGUAACGGUCGCAAGAUUAAAAACUUAAAUGAAUUGACGGGGUCAUAGCUGUUUCCU
rnacentral:rRNA from 1 species